UGGAGUUUAGCUCUUACCCUUUGUGACAUACCUAUAACUGUNGCUNCGGCGGGNAGGGUCUCCUUGACCCUCCCGGCCUCCCGCCCCCGGGCGGGUCGGUCCCGCCGGACCUAACGAAACUCUGAUUUAACUACAUUUCUUCUGAGUGGUACAGACAAAUAAUCAAAACUUUUAACAACNGAUCUCUAGGUUCUGGCAUCGGUGAAGAACACAACGAAAUGCGAUAAGUAAUGUGAAUUGCAAUUGUCAAUGAAUCAUCAAAUCUUUGAACGCACAUUGCGCCCGCCACCAUUCUGGCGGGCAUGCCUGUUCGAGCGUCAUUUCAACCCUCACCCUCUGCUUGGUGUUGGGGCCCUACCUCUGAUGUAGGCCCUCGNACGUAGUGGCGGACCCUCACGGAGCCUCAUUUGCCUAUUAACUUUACCUCUCCCACUGGGAUCCGGAGGGACUCUGGCUCUAAAACCCCCACCUUUCCUUAGGUUGACGUCGAAUCAGGUACGAGUACCCNCUCAACUUAAACUUAUCCUAGCCGUAGGAAAGAGGAAACAGC
rnacentral:rRNA from 1 species